rnacentral:rRNA from 1 species
AGCCAUGCGAGUCAUUGUAGUAAUACAAGGCAGACGGCUCAGUAACGCGUAGUCAACCUAACCUAUGGACGGGGAUAAUCUCGGGAAACUGAGCAUAAUACCCGAUAGAACAUUAUGCCUGGAAUGGUUUAUGUUCCAAAUGAUUUAUCGCCGUAGGAUGGGACUGCGGCCUAUCAGUUUGUUGGUGAGGUAAUGGCCCACCAAGACUAUUACAGGUACGGGCUCUGAGAGGAGUAGCCCGGAGAUGGGUACUGAGACACGGACCCAGGCCCUAUGGGGCGCAGCAGGCGAGAAAACUUUGCAAUGUGCGAAAGCACGACAAGGUUAAUCCGAGUGGUUUCUGCUAAAGGAACCUUUUGACAGUCCUAGAAACACUGUUGAAUAAGGGGUGGGCAAGUUCUGGUGUCAGCCGCCGCGGUAAAACCAGCACCUCAAGUGGUCAGGAUGAUUAUUGGGCCUAAAGCAUCCGUAGCCGGCUCUGUAAGUUUUCGGUUAAAUCUGUACGCUCAACGUACAGGCUGCCGGGAAUACUGCAGAGCUAGGGAGUGGGGAGAGGUAGACGGGUACUCGGUAGGGAGGGGUAAAAUCCUUUUGAUCCUAUUGAUGACCACCUUGUGGCGAAGGCGGUCUACCAGAACACGUCCCGACGGUGAGGGAUGAAAGCUGGGGGAGCAAACCGGAUUAGAUACCCCGGGUAGUCCCAGCUGUAAACCAUGCAAACUCAGUGAUGCAUUGGCUUGUGGGCCAAUGCAGUGCUGCAGGGAAGCCGUUAAGUUUGCCGCCUGGGAAGUACGUACGCAAGUAUGAAACUUAAAGGAAUUGGCGGGG